UCUUCUUAAUUCAAGUUUUGUUGAUUGCUGCAUUAUCUUUUUCUCUUAGUGUACAUGCAUUAAUGAGUUGUUAGUGAGACUCCUAGCAGUUUCGCUAAUUGCUAGAGUCAUUUUGGUUCAGUGAUUUGUGUUAUUUGUGCUAGUUGCUCCCUUCCUGGAAGAUUAUUGGACUUGUUUGUAAGAAGAAACUGUCACAUGGCUAGGAGACAAAGAAGACAAGUGCAAUUGAAAGGUUUACAGUGCUGCUGUUGUGCUUUUGGGAGUAUACUACUGAAAGAAGAAAGAUUGAGUUGUGCAAGUGUGAAGUUCACAAAUGCCAUCUGAAACAUGGAUAUUUGAGAUCCAACAAUGAUGGUAGCUAACAGUUCAGAAACAAAGGAAAGCCUCAACAGCAGCAAAAUAAGCAAGGCCAGACAUUUAUAGUCUUUCAACCAGAAACUGAUCCUGCUGGAGGAGUGCAGUAAGGGUAGAAGAACGAAAUGGAGGGGAUUCAUUCAGUUUUGUUUGUAAAAAUAGAGAUGGGUCCAUGGCUGGUUGUUUGAGCUGGACUAGAGAGGCUCAAAUAGAUGUAACAAAGAGCGAGGUGGUGGCAGAGCUGAUGAAGAACAUUCUCAGAUGUUUAGGAACCAGUUCACAGAUCGAUGUUUGGGUUUGCACAGGUGGACAGAUGUCUUCUGACAGAGCCUCAAUCUUUAGCAACCAUUGCUCCUAACUUGUUUAUGAGCAUUGGCUUGGAUAGCAAACGGUGGACUCCUAAUCUUGUACAUUUUUAUUCUAGUGCUAUUUAUGUUCCUUUGUAUCAAUGUAUCAUGGCACAAAUCCAUCACCAGCGUCAUAAAU